AGAGGACGGAGGAGAGAAACGAAUAGAGAAUAGCUGCCGGCUGAGCCAAGCUACAGGGUCUUCCACAGCACAGUGAUUGAAUUCACCGAUUUCAAAGUGAGAGCAGAGCCCGCACUGGCACCUGGAGGAGAAAUAUGCUGUGACUUGUGGUUUCCCCGCUGUGUCUGUUUCUUACUGUUCUGGCGGCUGGAAGUCCGAGAUCAUAGUGCCAGCAGGACUGGGUUCUGGUGAGUGCCUCUUCCAGGUUGCAGAUGGCUGAAUUCUCGUUGCAUCUUUACAAGGUGGAAAAAGAGUGAGCUGGUUCUCUGGUCUUCUGACAAGGGCACUGAUCCCAUUCCUGAGACUCCACUAUCAUGACGUAAUCACCUUGCAGAGGCCUGGCCUCCAAACACCGUCACACUGGGGAUUAGAUUUCCACGUAUGAGUUUUGGGGAACACAAGCAUUCAGUCUGUUACAAGCGUGAAUACCGAAAUCUGGAUGCGGUUCUUGCCCCCAGGAUGGGUUUUAAUUGGCCUUUAUUGCUGGAGGCCUUUUCCGUUUUAUUUCACUUGUGAAAGAUGGGAAACAUUUGCAUCUUUUAUCCCAGAAACUGUUGGAAUAUUUGGAAUAUCCUGGUUUUCUUUUAUUCUUGCAAACUGGCAAUUUCUCUCUGAGCUCAUACCUUCCAUGUGUCACCUUAUUUGUAUGCAGCCAAGGCACUCUGAUGGUAUUUCCUAAUCUCUCUAUCUGAACCACAAACUGAAUCUACACAUUGCCUGCCUUCCAAGUUGUCACAGGUGACACUUCCACCUAAUACUUUGCCACAGGAUAAUAUAGAUUG
rnacentral:lncRNA from 1 species